UUGCAGACUCAGCUGGGAACUGGCAUUGCUGUGGCUAUGAUGUAGGCUGGCAGCUGCAGCUCUGAUUCAACCCCUAGCCUGGGAACUUCCAUAUGUCGCAAGUGUGGCCCUUUAGAAACAAAAAGAAAAGAAAAUGAAAUUUUCCGUAAUCCUCAAACCAAAUUUAAAAUGAAGAGUGGUAGAAGACGAUGGUAAAAGAGGUCUCAGGGGUCACAGCGCACAAAGGCGUAAAUGACCUCCCUCCUUCUUCCAGCCCUCGGACCCUUCCUGCAAAGAUCCAUCAGGUUUGUGGGGUUCUGGUGGGGAAGAUGGGAUGAAUUGUAUAUAGGCCAGUGUCAGCAGCAUUUUAAAAAUUCAUUUCCAUAGACGAGAGGGGGCCACAGGCUGGGGCAUGUGGACCUGUGCUGGCCUCUGUUGCCACCAGAUAGACUUGUAGACCUGUGUUCAGAGCAGGGCAGCCUGGUGGGCCUCCUAGUGGAGGAGCACUGUCCAGGUGGAGGCAGGAGAGCCUUUCUCCUGGGCAUAUGGCACAGGCAUCUCACUUCUGGAAGGCAGCAUUGCUUUCCCAGCACUUGCUCUGGGCUAGCGAGCGAACAUGCACCCAGACCCUAGCAUGCCAGGACUUCUGUGGUUGGAGACAGGCCACUGAGUCACACAGUUUAGGACAUGUGACACUCCUCUUGGCUGCAGGGUUGGCAGACGGUGGACACAAGGGAGGUGCCAUCUUUUGCAGAGUCUGAGAGCAGAAGGGUGGCUGCAGAGAACCCUUUAGCGGGUUCCUUCCAGAGCUAGUCAUAGCAGAAGCUCAGACCUUCCAAGCCCAGCCCAUCAGGUUCUUAAUCUCCAUGGGCAACUGCCUUCCUUCCUGCACAGCCCUCUGACCACAUCCUAUUUCACAAAGCCCAGCCUCAGCCCAAGCUAAGUGGCAGUCAUGUGUCACCUCAAUCCUGGGCCCUUGAUGGGUCACCUGGAGGUUCGGGUAUUCUCUGCAGCCACCUCCGUCCAUUACUCAGUGUGCCCACGAGGUGACUUGGGUGCCACAGGCAGUGGUGGUCUCCAUGCCACCUCCCAAAGACAGCAGUCAGGUUAAGGGAACAGUGGUUUUUCAGAGGCUUUUCUUGCUCUGCAAGAUCCGUCCUCUAGGAAGGUGACACAUCUUUGGGGUUACCUGUCCACUGGACAAACUGCCCCAGACCUCAGGCCUCCCCUUCAGUACUUGCUUGUCACAGAAGGAAGCGGGUGGCAGCCCUGCCUGGGGGAUUAGGUUGCGUCACUGCGUGUGAACUGCUGUAAUCUCAGCGGCAAAGGAGCUUAUGGCCACAGUGACGGGGCUGGCUGGGCAUCUGUGCUAAAGUAGCGCACUUGGCUCUACCUGCCUCGACGGGCUGUGCUGUGAUUCCUGAGCCCUGGACGGAUGUCCCUAUUCCCUGAAGGAACUGGCAGCUCACACCAAGUCUGUUUAGUCUUGGGAGUUCCCUUUGUGUCACAGCAGAAACGAAUCCGGCUAGUAUCCAAGCAUGCAGUUUCAAUCCCUGGCCUUGCUCAGUGGGUUAAGGAUCUGGUGUUGCCGUGAGCUGUGGUGUAGGCCACAGAAGCAGCUCGGAUCCUGAGUUGCUGUGACUGUGGCCAGGCAGCUCUGAUUCGACCCUAGCCUGGGAACCUCCGUGUGCCAGGGGUGCGCCCCUAAAAAACCAAAAAAAAAAAAAAAUCUGUUUAGUCUAACUUGUUAAAAGCACAAUGAAAAUGUAAAUGUUGCAGUGGGUCAAGUUACAGCAACUCAUUUUGUGUGACCACGCGUAGGGAAAAACAAAAACUGAUGUUAGUGUUGCUAUGCUUCAGGUUUGUGUCUGGUUUUUUACAGGGAUGUGUGUGUGGAGGAGGGGGAGGGGUUUAAACUGUUCACUGGAAACCAGAGGACCAACCAGAUGAGGGGCUGGCUUGUCAUCAGGGCAGUUAAACCACUUAAGUGCCUUUCAGCAGAUUUUUUUUUUUAAUGCAUUCAAUAUACCAUUUGUUAUAGUCCAAGUAUAAGGGUCUUCUUUCUUUACUACAGUAGACAAAACCAAAAUUUUUUCCUUUAAGGAUAUUCUAGCUACAUUGUCUUUAAAAGCGUAAGAGAUAUCCGUUAAGCCUGGCUGAUUUCUAAUGAGAAAAUAUAAUACAUUGAUUAAAUCAUUUAAUAGUGCAAAUUAGGCCAGCUCUGGAAUCUGCUUAAACAAAGCAGAUGCAUCUGUAAUGAAUUUCUCUCCACUGAGCCGUCCAUCACAGUUAAGUCUGUGAUGCCUCUAGGCUACCUCCUCUUCCCUCUUGCUGGUUUGCUUCAACUCAUCCCCCACCUCCCAUCAGGCCACCCCCCCCACCCGCCGAAAGCCUAGCUUAGUGCUACAUUCCCAUUGCAGAAAAGCACUUGCAGCCAAACUUCAAAGUGACCUUCAACUUCAUUAAUUAUGAAAAAGUUUGGGUCUUUCUUUAGGCAAACACUUCCUAGAACUGUAUUGUUUCUAGAAUUGCUUUCAAAUAAUCACAUUUGUGAUGUGAAGGAAGCAUUUGGGGAUUUUUAGAUGAAGCAUGUGUCUUCUACUGUAAAUAAUAGGGUUAUCACAAUACAAAUGUAAUAUUGGGAAGUGGAGAAAGAAGUGGGAUGACCUAAGGUACAUUCCUCUUGCACCACCCUGUUCCCACUUUGGCAAACUCCUCUAGGGUUUUUUUUUUUUUUUUUUGUCUUUUUAGGGCUGCACCCAUGGCACAUGGAGGUUCCCAGGCUAGGGGGCGAAUUGGAGCUGUUGCCGCUAGCCUACACCACAGCCACAGCAACACGGCAUCGGAGCCGCGUCUGCGACCUAUACCACAGCUCACGGGAACACCGGAUCCUCAACCCACUGAGCAAGGCCAGGAAUCGAACCCGCAACCUCAUGGUUCCUAGUCGGAUUUGUUUCCACUGUGCCACAACGGGAACUCCUCCUCUAGGGUUUUUUUGACAUUUUUAUCGUCUAAUGUACAUACAAUCUAGCAACUUGCUUAGCUCCUCUACUUAAAACAUUCAUUCUUUAAAAUUGUCUUUAGGAGGAGUUCCUGUCAUGGCUCAGUGGUUAACAAACCCGACUAGCAUCCAUGAAGACAGGGGUUCAAUCCCUAGCCUUGCUCAGUGGGUUAAGGAUCUGGCAAUGCCGUGAGCUGUGGUGUAGUUCGAAGAUGGUACUCGAAUCCCACAUUGCUGUGGCUGUGGCGUGGGCCGGCAGCUACAGCUCCAAUUCGACCCCUAGCCUGGGAUCCUCCAUAUGCAGAGGGUAUGGCCCUAAAAAGACAAAAAGGCAAAAAAAAAAAAAAAAAAAUUUGUCUUUAGGAAUUCCCUGGUGGCCUAAGCAGUUAAGGACCUUGUGUUGUCACCACUAUGGCACCAGUUCAAUCCCUGGCCCAGGAACUUCCUCACGCUGAUUUCAGAGAGACAGCAGUUAAUGAUGGCUUGGAGCGAGAUCUUAAUUCUCUGCUCAGGAAUUGAACUUGGGCAGCCUGGAUGAAAACCAGGAAUCCUAGCCACUAGACCAGUUAGAGGCUGAAAGCAGAAUUGCCCUGAUUCUUGCCCCCUGUUGAAAGCAAGAAUGUAUCAAGGAGGCAAAGGCUGUAAAAAUAGGUAUAAAUUUUAUUGUUAGAAACACAGUACAAGAUGUGGGAGAGCACAGAAGUACAGAGAACUAAUCUCUUUGUCUAAGGCAGAGGUAAAGUAGUAAUAUACACCCAAAGGAAAACGAGGGUGUGGGUGUCCCCCAGAAUGAGGAGCGUGCCAGAGAGGUGAUUUAAAUUACUUAUGUAGGACAGCUCUUCUGGGUUUUUGUCCUCCUUUAGUCAAUUAUCAUGUUUUACUUGGCUCCACCUGACCAGACCCAGGGCCCUCCCCUGAUCUGCAUGCACAUCUUUUUUAUUUUUUUUUACUUUUUAGUGUCCCACUGGCGGCAUAUGGAUGUUCCCAGGCUAGGGGUUGAAUCAGAGCUACAGCUGCCAGCCUAGACCACAACCACAGCAACAGUAACUCGGGAUCCAAGCCGCAUCUGCCACCUAUACCACAGCUCACGGCAACGCCAGAUCCUUAACCCACAGUGCAAGGCCAGGGAUUGAACCGGCAACCUCAGGGUUCCUAGUCCGAUUCGUUUCUGCUGUGCCACAGUGGAACUCCAUGCCCAUCUUUUGACCAAGAUGGAUUCCAAAGCAGAGCAUGGUGGGAAGGUUAUCCAGACUUAUUAUGGCCCUUUCUGAUGAGAGGGACCUCUCUGAGCAUGUGUAGUUGGGGUCUCCCCGAGGCCAAGGAUGGGGAGUACAUGACCUCUCUGUUCUGUCCAAAUAGGGCUCAGUCCCUCUUUUGAUCCUGUCAGUACCAUUAUUUAACAAGUCCACAGAAGACAAGUACCAGUUAUCUGUCUUGCGCCUGUUGUUAUUCCUAUCUGGAAGUAUAGAUAGAUGGCUAGUUGUAAAGGUUUAUCCCAAAACUCACCUAUCUCCUUCCUCAGGAAGUGUAAAUAAAAGGCUAGUUGUCUCUAUGUCCUUCCUCAAGAAGUACAAAUAAGAAGCUAGUUGCAAAUGUCUAUCCUGGAGCCCGUCUAUCUCCUGCCUCGAUGCCACAAGCAUGGUAAAAUAAAAUAAAAUAAUAACUUUAAAAUAAAUAAGAGUUCCUGUUGUAGCUCAGCAGAUUAAGAACCCGACAAUGUCUCUGAUUCGGGUUUGAUCCCUGGCCUCAUUCAGUGGGUUAAGGAUCUGGCGUUGCCUCGAGCUGUGGCGUAGGUCACAGAUGCAGCUUGGAACUGAUGUUGCUGUGGCUGUGGUGUAAGCUGGCAGGUGCAGCUCCGAUUUGACUCCUAGCCUGAGAAUUCCCAUAUGAUAUAAGCACAGCCCUAAAAAGAAAAAGAAAAAAAA
ensembl:lncRNA